GAGUUGAUUGGUGCUGGUUGCUAUGCGACUCCAUGCUAAUUAUUAAAUAGCGUAGAGUCUCUGAUGUUUUGGUAUUCAGAAGCCUUCUCUUCUUUUUUACAUCCAUCUCUAUUUUGUCCCAUUCCUUUCUUCCUUCUCUUGUUAGGACAAGUCCAAAUAUAGUAAGGAUAAGUUUGAUUUUAGAACAAGUGCUUAGAAAGAUAGUAAAGGAAGACAAAGAGAUAGGAAAGAUAGACAAAGGUAAGCCAAGGGAGGAGGGUGUUUAGAAAAAUACCAAAGGAGUGUUCUGCUGCCCA
rnacentral:lncRNA from 1 species